CAGAUUAUUUCAUUUCUCAGUCUGAACAUUCUUCAGAUUUGCAUCGUGUCAGAGUUCUGCUCUUCUUCAUCUUCUUCAUCUUCAGACUUUGUGCUGUUUAGAUUUUACAUUUCUACAUUUUUGGACCUUCGUACCUGAAACUUUCUCCACCAACUCUUCGAUCAACAUGAAGAUCUCUAUCUUUGCUGGUGUUCUGCUGAUCUCUGCUGCCGUGAUCUUUGUGGACGGACAAAGUUGGAGUGAGUUU